AUAAGAAACCUUGAGAAGAGACCACAAAUGGGAGGAUCCCCCGCUAACUUAAUGCUAACGAAUAAUAGCAAACAUCAUAGAUGUGCUUCAUAAAUAGCAUCUAUGUGAUAGUAUUUCAAAGAAUGCAUAUUUCAGCACAUACUGUGCAACACAUGUAGACUGACAAGAUAACAAUACUCACAGGCAUAUAGGCGAUUCUUUAUCCUCCGCGAAAAUGAAUUAUGAUUGAUUAGUAAAGCACUGAUAGUCUUAUAUUGUCGCCCGGUGGUAAAGGCACUCAGGCCAAAAUGUAUUUAUGUUGUUACUCGGUUUUAUAAAGUACAUUAUAGAGUACUAUUUUCCUCAUUUGUUGUGUUUUGGGGGAGGCUGGAUCCAAUUGAUGGCAUUUCCAUGUAUUUUAAUGGGCAAAGAUGAUUUGAAAUAUGACCACUUUGAGUUACGAGUGUGGUCAUGUAAUGAAUAAAACUCGUAUCUCAGGGCACCACUAUAUUCCUCAUCAAAUGUACAGGAUUUUGAAUAUUUUGGGAGUAGAAAUGCUAUAAACAAUUCCCUUUUAUUAAUUCAAUCUUAUUUGCAAUAAAAGCCUUCACAUCCCAACACUUCAACCCAUAUGUGAGUUCAUGAACGCUCAGAUGGGUUAGUCCCAGCGUAGCUGCUGAGUCAUGAUUAUCCUGGUAUAUCAUGCAUAUUUGUUGGCCCUCGAACACGUUGCGCAAAUACUCAGCUGAGCCCAGAUGGCCAGAUGCCAUGGUGCACGCAGCAUAUAGGAUUAUCCUGCUUUUGCGCCUGCCGUCAUUAUUGACUGCGCCGUUGCUCGCUAAAUCUUCUGGCAUAUUUACAAACAUAAAACACGGUUCAUUUCAUCCCGGAAUGCAUCGAGGGGUGGCUCGGAUUGUAUUUUGUUUGCACAAACUAGAAUCGUAUGAUGUUGAACUCCCUGUGUGCUCCAACAGGCUUGUGUAUGAUGAUCUAAAUUAAAAUGUUGAUUUACAAGCUGAAAGCUCACUCCCUCACCUCCCUGCUGACAUCAAAAAGCAAACCCCAACUUCAACUUUAAAAUUAGCCAUCUCCAUAGAUCGGCAUCCAAUUGAUGCGUUCAAAUGCACACCAGCCACUCCCGGGAUCCCAGAAGUACUGUACUGAAUGUGCCUUCAAGUAUUUUGUCAAACACCGCAAUGACGAAAGUUGACCUUUCAUUUUAGCCCCAUUUACAUCAAGCAGUAUUAUUUCACAUGGAUAAGAAAAUUUAUUUCUAAAUUGAUCUUCAGAAUUUAGCCAAUUGGAUGCAAGCAGCAGAGGUGCUAUUGAUUCUAUCGCCACUAGCUUGCUGUCAAAAGAAGCCCAACGUUAUGUCAGCUUUGGCAAGUUAAGACAAGUACAGAUGAUGUAGCAUAACUCCGGGGUAGCAAUAUUCUUCAUAUGAAACAGUAAGUAUUGAAACAGCAGCGUAGAACAUUUAGAUUCCAUAAAAAAAAUAAUAGCGCUCCGUGCCGACUUGCUCCCUAAAAAAUUCUCAAGCAAGCGUCUAGAAGUUAUUAUUCAACAGGGUUUUCUUCAGAGCCGCUUUCCGUUUGCUUCCCAUUGGCUCUGUCAACCAAUCAAUGGACAGUAGUGAGCCUAGCUCCACCCUGCACUACCCUACCACAUUAUGCUGAAAAGUGGGUUGGUAAAACUUAUUUAUUAGCUUUUGACAAUGGAAACUCAAAAAAAAAAAAAAAAAAAA